ACAGACUUAUACUUUCGUAUAAAUCAACUACAAUGAACAGCUCUCUACCAAUUCCCCUCUUAGAAAAACGGGAGUAAGUAAGAAACGAAAAGCCUAGAAUGAGGACGGUAGAGAAAUCAAAAUUUAUAGUGAAAAAGGAUUAUACAACAUUACACAUACAGGACUUGAUAAUGCAGGCUCAAGCAGUCCCAGUUAUCAGUCUCUCUUGCUCAUCUAGCUUUUUAACCUUGAGAAUGCCAAAGAGGAUUUGAAUCCCGAAAACCACAGAUAAUAGGUAUGCAGUUACUGCAGGUACUCGAAUUGAAUUGAUGUAUAAAAUUGUUGCGAGGUUUACUAGGCUUCCUGCUAACACCAUAUUUCCAAUUGUUUUUUGGACAGCAGCAACUCUUUGGAACGCUCUCUCCGAUUCUAAAGUUCGCACCCGAAGCUUGAGAUCACCUUGUUCCAAGCGUUGAAUAACUUCUGCAAGUUUUUCAACUCUAUCACCCUGUCUAAAUAUGUUAUAGAAUGCACGAGACUGUCG
rnacentral:misc_RNA from 1 species